UAGUCCUAGCUGUAAACGAUCUGUACUAGUCCGUGGGGACUCCCACAUCUUCUCGGACGUAGCGAAAGUGUUAAGUACAGCGCCUGGGGAGUAUGGUCGCAAGGCUGAAACUCAGAGGAAUUGACGGGGGCUCACACAAGCGGUGGAGGAUGUGGCUUAAUUCGAGGCUACGCGAAGAACCUUACCUAGACUUAACGUGCUUGGGAAUUCCUGUGAAAGCAGGAAGUGCCUUUCGGGGAGCCCUUGCGUAGGUGCUGCAUGGCUGUCGUCAGCUCGUGUCGUGAGAUGUCGGGUUAAGUCCCUUAACGAGCGAAACCCUUGUCACUAGUUGCCAGCGAGUAACGUCGGGGACUCUAGUGAGACUGCCGGUGUUAAACCGGAGGAAGGUGGGGAUGACGUCAAGUCCUCAUGGCCUUUAUGUCUAGGGCUGCACACGUCCUACAAUGCGGCGAACAAAGCGAUGCUAACUCGUGAGAGUACGCAAACCGCAAAAAGACGCCGCCCAGUUCGGAUUGCG
rnacentral:rRNA from 1 species